rnacentral:rRNA from 1 species
GAUGAACGCUGGCGGCGUGCUUAACACAUGCAAGUCGAACGGAAAGGCCCUGCUCUUGUGCGGUGCUCGAGUGGCGAACGGGUGAGUAACACGUGAGUAACCUCCCCUUGUCUUUGGGAUAACUUUAGGAAACUGGGGCUAAUACAGGAUAGGAGCUCCUGCUGCAUGGUGGGGGUUGGAAAGUUUCGGCUGUUGGGGAUGGACUCGCGGCUUAUCAGCUUGUUGGUGGGGUAGUGGCUUACCAAGGCUUUGACGGGUAGCCGGCCUGAGAGGGUGACCGGCCACAUUGGGACUGAGAUACGGCGCAGACUCCUACGGGAGGCAGCAGUGGGGAAUAUUGCAGAAUGGGCGGAAGCCUGAUGCAGCAACGCCGCGUGCGGGAUGACGGCCUUCGGGUUGUAAACCGCUUUCGCCUGUGACGAAGCGUGAGUGACGGUAAUGGGUAAAGAAGCACCGGCUAACUACGUG